CUGUGCGCCCGGCCGUUCCCGGCGGUGGUGAGCGUGAGCUCGGGAGGUGUAGUUCUCGGAACGCCCCGCCGGCCGUUUCCUCUGGGUCUGGGGGAGAUUGAUCGAGCGCCGCUGCCUCUGGAGAGCGCGGGUACCGGCUGCCGCACAGCUCCGUGCCACACACUUGUUCAGUGUCCCGGGGAGAGUGGCUCUGGUCGCGUACAGCUGAGCGGGAGCGGCAACAGUCACAGGGAGCACAAGGCCAUUCUCCCUGGGCCAGGAUAGAAGGUUGUGCAUGUGGGCAUGCCAGUUCCUGGCCUUUCCAGAACAUUAGGACUGUGCCCUCACGCCCUCAGUCCUGGACUCAAACCAGGUUCUCAUCCUUUGCUCCAGACAGCCUUUCUCAGAGGCUUUGAGACGAUUAUAUAAGAGAUAGCAUCUGGCACUGAGGAGGCCUGGCAAGUGUCAUGCCCUACACCUACUGGCGGCCUGGAUUGCUGUGACCUUCACUCCCAGAUGAGCAGUAAGUGGGACUCUGAAGUCAUGGUCACUUGUCUUCACCCCAAUCCUCACCCCAGGGCAGACACAGUGGAUGGGAACCAUUUGAAGUGAAAAUAUGAACAUUAUUUAAUAACUGAUCUUCUGUAAUAAACCAUUUGAAAAUAUUUUACAAGGAAUCACACACACGA